rnacentral:ncRNA from 1 species
GCCGUACGACAGGGGAGCACGCGCAGCGUGCUGAGAGUGCGGACCAGCCGCAGACCCUUGAACCUGCUCCGGCUAGUACCGGCGAAGGGAGUCAUGAUGAUGCUGCC